GACGAACGCUGGCGGCGUGCCUAAUACAUGCAAGUUGAGCGCUGAAGGUUGGUACUUGUACCGACUGGAUGAGCAGCGAACGGGUGAGUAACGCGUGGGGAAUCUGCCUUUGAGCGGGGGACAACAUUUGGAAACGAAUGCUAAUACCGCAUAAAAACUUUAAACACAAGUUUUAAGUUUGAAAGAUGCAAUUGCAUCACUCAAAGAUGAUCCCGCGUUGUAUUAGCUAGUUGGUGAGGUAAAGGCUCACCAAGGCGAUGAUACAUAGCCGACCUGAGAGGGUGAUCGGCCACAUUGGGACUGAGACACGGCCCAAACUCCUACGGGAGGCAGCAGUAGGGAAUCUUCGGCAAUGGACGAAAGUCUGACCGAGCAACGCCGCGUGAGUGAAGAAGGUUUUCGGAUCGUAAAACUCUGUUGGUAGAGAAGAACGUUGGUGAGGGUGGAAAGCUCAUCAAGUGACGGUAACUACCCAGAAAGGGACGGCUAACUACGUG
rnacentral:rRNA from 1 species